rnacentral:rRNA from 1 species
AAAGAGUAAGAAACUUUAGCGUGUGUACCUUUUGUAUCAGGGGAAGUUAAAAGUGCAAGUAAUAAAGGAUCGAUUUAAGCAGAGCUUCGUACAAAAUAGCUAUAGUUAAAUUUAUAGCUUUAAUAGAUUAUGUGGUGAAAAAUGUACGGUGCUUAUGGUAGCUAUUUGUUUUUUUAUUGAAGGGUAAGCUUUCAUUGACUUAAUUGUGUAAAAGGUAUAGGGAAUUAGGCUUUGUAUUAGCCAGAUUAUUAAAUUGUUUUAAAUAAUCUAACAGUGUAAGAUAAAUCUUAAGGUUAAAAGACUCGGUCUAUUAAUUUGGAUAGGUCUGAAUAAUGAGUUUAUUGAAUAUAGCACGAAAUACUUAAAUAACUCAAAGUAAGUUAGAAUGUUUAGCAAAAACAUUUUCUUUUGGUGUAAGUAAGAUAAGACCUGCCCGGUGAUUUUUAACGGCUGCGGUAUUUUGACUGUGCUAA